AACGAACGCUGGCGGCAUGCCUAACACAUGCAAGUCGAACGAGACCUUCGGGUCUAGUGGCGCACGGGUGCGUAACGCGUGGGAACCUGCCCUUAGGUUCGGAAUAACUCAGAGAAAUUUGAGCUAAUACCGGAUAAUGUCUUCGGACCAAAGAUUUAUCGCCUUUGGAUGGGCCCGCGUAGGAUUAGCUUGUUGGUGGGGUAAUGGCCUACCAAGGCGACGAUCCUUAGCUGGUCUGAGAGGAUGAUCAGCCACACUGGGACUGAGACACGGCCCAGACUCCUACGGGAGGCAGCAGUGGGGAAUAUUGGACAAUGGGCGAAAGCCUGAUCCAGCAAUGCCGCGUGAGUGAUGAAGGCCUUAGGGUUGUAAAGCUCUUUUAACAGGGAUGAUAAUGACAGUACCUGGAGAAUAAGCUCCGGCUAACUCCGUG
rnacentral:rRNA from 1 species